AUGGCUGCCAAAUGUUUGAGUCCAUCAGAAAGUUCGGCCUGGCUUUAGCAGUUGCAGGAGGCAUGGUGAACUCUGCUUUUUAUGUGGAUGCUGGGCACAGAGCUGUCAACUUUGACUGAUUCCAUGGCAUACAGGACCUUGUGGUAGGGGAAGGGACUCAUUUUCUCAUCCCUUGGGUACAGAAACCAAUUAUCUUUGACAGACACUCUCAACCUCGGAAUGUACCAGUCAUCACUGAUAGCAAAGACUUGCAGAACGUCAACAUCACACUGCGCAUCCUCUUCCAGCCCGUGGCCAGCCAGCUUCCUAGUUCGUAUCUAUACCAGCAUUGGCAAGGACUAUGCUGAGCAAGUCCUGCGGUCUAUCACCACAGAGAUCCUCAGUCUGCGGUGGCUGGAUUUGAUGCUGGAGAACUGAUUACCCAGCGAGAGCUGAUCUCACAGAGCAAGCAGCAACAUUUGGGCUCAUCCUGGAUGACGUGUCCCUCACACAUUUGACCUUCGGGAAGGAGUUCACAGAGACAGUAGAAGCCAAACAAGUGGCUCAGCAGGAAGCAGAGAGAGCCAGAUUUGUGGUGGAAAAGGCUGAGCAGCAAAAGAAAGCAGCCAUUAUCUCUGCUGAUGGUGACUUCAAGGCAGCUGAGCUGAUCGCCAACUAGCUGGCCACAGCAGGCGAUGGCCUGAUCGAGCUGCGCAAGCUGGAGGCUGCUGAGGACAUUGCAUACCAGCUCUCCCGCUCUCGGAACAUCACCUACCUGCCAGGGGGGCAGUCCAUUCUCCUC
rnacentral:lncRNA from 1 species